GAUGAACGCUGGCGGCGUGCCUAAUACAUGCCAGUCGAGCGAACGGACGUGAAGCUUGCUUCUCUGAUGUUAGCGGCGGACGGGUGAGUAACACGUGGAUAACCUACCUAUAAGACUGGGAUAACUUCGGGAAACCGGAGCUAAUACCGGAUAAUAUUUUGAACCGCAUGGUUCAAAAGUGAAAGACGGUCUUGCUGUCACUUAUAGAUGGAUCCGCGCUGCAUUAGCUAGUUGGUAAGGUAACGGCUUACCAAGGCAACGAUGCAUAGCCGACCUGAGAGGGUGAUCGGCCACACUGGAACUGAGACACGGUCCAGACUCCUACGGGAGGCAGCAGUAGGGAAUCUUCCGCAAUGGGCGAAAGCCUGACGGAGCAACGCCGCGUGAGUGAUGAAGGUCUUCGGAUCGUAAAACUCUGUUAUUAGGGAAGAACAUAUGUGUAAGUAACUGUGCACAUCUUGACGGUACCUAAUCAGAAAGCCACGGCUAACUACGUG
rnacentral:rRNA from 1 species